ACGACCGUACCGCAAACCGACACUGGUGCGCGAGAUGAGUAUUCUAAGGCGCUUGAGAGAACUCAGGAGAAGGAACUCGGCAAAUUGACACCGUAACUUCGGAAGAAGGUGUGCCCUAUUAGUGUGAAGUGAACAACGGAGCAUGAAUGGGUUGCAAAAAAUCGGUGGCUGCGACUGUUUAUUAAAAACACAGCACUCUGCAAACACGAAAGUGGACGUAUAGGGUGUGACGCCUGCCCGGUGCUGGAAGAUUAAAUGAUGGGGUGCAAGCUCUUGAUUGAAGUCCCAGUAAACGGCGGCCGUAACUAUAACGGU
rnacentral:rRNA from 1 species